rnacentral:rRNA from 1 species
UACGUAGGGUGCGAGCGUUAAUCGGAAUUACUGGGCGUAAAGGGCGCGUAGGCGGCCUUCUAAGUCAGACGUGAAAUCCCCAGGCUUAACUUGGGAACUGCGUCUGAUACUGGGAGGCUUGAGUGCGGGAGAGGGAUGUGGAAUUCCAGGUGUAGCGGUGAAAUGCGUAGAUAUCUGGAGGAACACCGGUGGCGAAGGCGGCAUCCUGGACCGACACUGACGCUGAGGCGCGAAGGCCAGGGGAGCAAACGGG